CAUGAUGCAGCCUGGAUUAAAUAUGGUAUUGAUUAAAACCACAACACAGCAUAUUGUAGAAAAAGAAGACUCCACAUGCACAUUUAAUUAUGAUUCCACUUUCCAGGCAUGUAGUUAGGGAAUGCAGUAACUGAGUGCCUGCCUAGAGGAGUUCAUGGUGCUCAGCAAAUCUCAAGAGGGGAGCUGGUGUUUUGUGGUUGCAUAUGGGAAAUGACAGCUUGCCAGAAAGGGCAGCAAUGGCAUGAUAACAGCAGGAAGAGCAACUAGGAAGCAGCAGGGAUUGAAAUGCAAGAGAACCCAGGUGCGUAACAGCUGGUGAAGGCCAAGGGAUGCUGAAGCUGUGAGCUAUAAAUUCUACCAGUGAGAACUUUGGACACUUCUUCACAUUCUGACUCUUUCACAUUAAUAAUCACCACUCUGAGGGCAAUGGAAGCUCAGGUGUGUUCUGACACUUUGCAUUCGAUCAUCUCCCCAUAUUCACCCAGUAUGGAUUCAUUAUGGAGCCUUGAAAAAUGACAGGCGGGAAACCUUGGUCUAUAAAACACUGAAGUAAAUAGAGCAGAACAUGGAAGUGCUGACGCAGUUACGAUUGAAGUCAGAUGUAUGCAGCAUUUCUAAUUCAACUCAUACCGAUUAA